CACAUUUCCUUUGUUUCUACAUAUUUAACUUCUGCUUUAAAGAAUGACAUUGUUUACUAAUCAAUAUGAUGAUAUAUGUUCCUAUUUGGUAAGGUUUCACUCUGAGUUUUAAAGUGUCAGUGGUGUGACUUUCUGUGGUUUGACCUUCUGCUUCCUUCCUUGUUGUGCCAUUUCAUAUGUUCCUAUGACCUUUCUUUCAGUUCAAAGUGAGGAAAUUCAAUUCAGAGAAUUUAAAAAUAUUUAAAGUUAUUUCUUUUUUUAAUUGAGGGGGAAGUUGAAAUAUAAAUCUCAUUCACGUGUUCUCCUUUUACAACCAGUUUCCAGAGGAGACAGAACUGGACCUUUUGUCAGUAAGUAUUGAAGGUCCAUCUCCUUACUCAUCGGAUUGUGUUCUGUGUUCAGUUCUCCCAAAACUCCUGGACGCUUUUCAUCAAACAUUCCUUUCGAACCUGAAGAAGCCAGGCGAGAUGACAGUUUGUCUUCUACCAGUGAAGACUCUGAGAAGGAUGAAAAGGAUGAAGACCAUGAGGGGGAAAGGUUUUACAUUUACAGGAAACCCUCACAUACAUCUCAUAAAAAAGCAACAGGCUUUGCUGCUGUUCAUCAGCUAUUUACAGAACGCUGGCCAACAACACCAGUCAACCGAAGUCUUACUGGCACAGCUACUGAGAAAAAUGUUGACUUUGAACUUGAUAUAUGGGUUGAAAUUGAUAGUGGAAAAUGUGUACUCCACCCAACCAUCCUUCUACAAGAACAUGAUAUAAGUUUGAGAAGGAGUUAUGAUCAAAGUUCCAGGAGCUUAGAUCAAGAUUCUCUUUCAUAAAAGAAGAAAUUCCAAACUAAUUAUGCUUCUACCACCCAUUUAAUGACUGACAAGAAAGUGCCAUCAUCUCUACAGACAAAACCUAUUGACUUAGAAACAACAGUAUUUUAUACGCCCGGAGUUGAUGUAAAUGUAAAUACCUAAUUGUCUAGGAUUAGUGUAUCAAUAAUGGUGGUUUUUAUUUCUUAUCAUAUAUGUUCUUCUUUUGCUCCUUAUACUAUAAAACUUUCUAGGUUUUUUUGGUCUAUGUAGCCAUAUUCUGAACAUAAGAAUAUAUAUAUAUAGGUUGUCACUUCAUUUAUACAGCUUUUCCCAUGAAAUUUGGCAAAAAGAAGUUAAGUGUUUUAUGUAUGUGUGCAUAGAUGUGUAUAGAUGUGU
rnacentral:lncRNA from 1 species